UUUGUGUAGUGACGAAUCUUGUAUGUGUUCCUAAGAAUAAGAAAAGGAAUUUGUCCAUUUUUCGAGGUCUCAAAGGGGCGCAGCUAGAAUUCUAACCUUGUGUCA